AUCUACAGCCACACCACCCUGAAUGUGCCCAGUCUCGUGUGAUCUCGCUAAGCAGGGUCGGGCCUGGGCAGUACCCGGAUGGGAGACUGCUUGGAAGCACCAGGUGCUGUAGCGG
rnacentral:rRNA from 1 species